CAUUACUCUAAUACUCUAUUUGCCAAAACGUGAUAUACAACUCCCCGGCGGUGCCGAACCCUAGACUUUAGAAAUUAGAACCUCUCAUCUGAAAUUCCAUCACACUCACUCAUACGCAAAUUCCGAGGCUCCAAUUGGAGAAGCUCGUUCCAGGUUGUUGUUCGUGUUUUUGAUGUAUUGAAACUAGGCGUAUAUCUAAUACCAUGAAUAGACCUUUAGAGGAAGUUGCCAGCGUGGUUGCUUCUGCGGCAGUGGCGAAUACGAGUGCUAAUAAUCUGAAGCCUGUCUUCUUGACUAAAGCCCAGAGGGAGCAGUUAGCGCUGCAGAGAAGACAAGAAGAAGUUGGUGAACAGAAGCGCCGUGCUGAACAGCUUCUUCAAAGUCGGUCUGCUGAUAGCAGAUUGUCUGAUUCUUCUCAUCACCGUUCAUCCCGCGAUCGUGAUCGUGACCGAGACCGCGACCGAGAUCGAGAUAGGGAUCGCGAACGAGAGAGGGACCGUGAACGAGAUAGAAAUCGUGACAUUGAAAGGAGGAAUCGCGAGAGGGAACGUGAAGAGGAAAGUAAAGCCCGAGACCGUGUGAGGCUGGAGAAGUUAACAGAGAGGGAGAGGGAAAAGGAACUAGAGCUUAUCAAAGAGCAAUAUUUGGGUUCCAAGAAACCUAAGAAGCGUGUGAUUAAGCCUAGUGAAAAAUUCCGCUUUUCCUUUGACUGGGAGAACACAGAGGACACCUCUCGUGACAUGAAUGCUUUGUAUCAGAAUCCUCAUGAGGCUCAGCUCUUGUUUGGUAGAGGGUUCCGAGCUGGAAUGGAUCGUAGGGAGCAGAAGAAGCUGGCUGCCAAAAAUGAAGUUGAGUUACGUGAGGAAAUUCGCAAGAAAGAUGGCACUGAAGAGAAGCCUGAGGAGGUUGCUGCACAACGUCGGCGUGAGCAAGCUGCUGAAUUUUAUGAUACUUUUGAUAUGAGGGUUGAUCGCCACUGGUCUGACAAGAGGCUUGAAGAAAUGACUGAGAGGGACUGGAGGAUUUUCAGGGAGGAUUUUAAUAUAUCUUACAAAGGAUCCAAGAUUCCUAGACCAAUGAGGAAUUGGGUAGAAAGCAAAUUGAGUUCAGAACUUUUGAAAGCUGUGGAGCGAGCUGGGUACAAGACUCCAUCUCCUAUCCAGAUGGCAGCUAUUCCCUUGGGACUGCAACAACGAGAUGUCAUCGGUGUUGCGGAGACUGGUUCAGGUAAGACGGCUGCUUUUGUUUUGCCUAUGCUGGCGUAUAUUACUAGGCUGCCACCAAUUACUGAAGAGAAUGAGGCUGAGGGACCUUAUGCUGUUGUUAUGGCCCCUACUCGUGAAUUGGCGCAACAGAUUGAAGAGGAGACUGUUAAGUUUGCCCACUAUAUGGGGAUUAAGGUUGUCUCUAUUGUUGGUGGACAAUCCAUAGAGGAACAAGGAUUCAAAAUUAGACAGGGAUGUGAAAUUGUUAUUGCAACCCCUGGACGUCUCUUGGAUUGUCUGGAAAGAAGGUAUGUUGUUCUGAACCAGUGUAAUUACGUGGUUCUUGAUGAGGCUGAUCGGAUGAUAGAUAUGGGUUUUGAGCCCCAGGUUGUUGGUGUCCUGGACGCUAUGCCUUCAAGUAAUAUGAAGCCUGAGAAUGAAGAGGAGGAGCUUGAUGAGAAAAGGAUUUAUCGGACCACCUAUAUGUUUAGUGCCACUAUGCCACCGGCCGUAGAGCGGCUUGCCAGGAAGUACUUGAGGAAUCCCGUGGUUGUGACUAUUGGCACAGCUGGGAAAGCUACUGACCUAAUCACACAACAUGUGAUUAUGAUGAAGGAAUCAGAAAAGAAUUACAAAUUGCAAAAACACCUUGAUGACUUAGGUGAUAAGACGGCUAUAGUGUUUGUUAACACGAAGAAGACUGCUGAUGUGCUUGCCAAAAAUUUGGAUAAGGGAGGCUAUCGAGUUACAACUUUGCAUGGUGGAAAAUCACAAGAACAGAGAGAAAUUAGUCUUGAAGGUUUCAGGACCAAGAGAUACAAUGUCAUGGUUGCGACAGAUGUUGCUGGACGUGGUAUAGAUAUACCUGAUGUUGCUCACGUGAUAAACUAUGAUAUGCCUGGGAAUAUUGAGACGUACACCCAUCGUAUUGGCCGUACUGGAAGAGCUGGAAAGACUGGUGUGGCCACAACAUUUUUGACUUUGCAUGACAGUGAUGUUUUCUAUGAUCUGAAGCAAAUGCUUGUUCAGAGUAAUAGUCCUGUGCCACCGGAACUUGCAAGACAUGAAGCCUCUAAAUUCAAGCCAGGAUCAAUUCCUGAUAGACCCCCUAGACGGAAUGAGACUCUUUUUGCACAUUGAUGAUUUUGCCUUUCCAGGGUAGUUGUUUUGGUAUAUUAUUCAAACAUGCUCCGUACUUGAAUGUCAAGGGUAUCUGCAUUGGAGUUUCAUAAUUUCAUGUCAAGUCUCAUAAUUGACUGAUGAAAACCAUUUGAAGAUUGAUAUGAGUACAAAUUGGUACAUACGGGUGGAUAUUUGUGUAUAGUAUUCUGAUGAGAAGCCUCUGUUUGGGAUGGUUUUCAUAAUUAAUCAAACAAAUUUCAUCAUGUUAUCCAUGAACUUCUGGUGACUCAGAAGCCACCAUGGAUCCUGUCAUCUGGCACUUGAGGGGUUUUAAGUUUUAACAAGUAAAUUCUUUAAAGACAGCAGGCACAAGAGGCUGGAGCAGAAACAAUGAUCACAUCAAAUAAACACAGGCAAGGGUAUUCGGAAUUUUAAGUUCAUUAAUAAUCUAUUUAAUGAUCUACACUUUUGCCAUUGCACUUGGCCACUUGCACAAAUAGUCCACCUCAAUUGGAUAGCUUUAUAUAGAGAAGUAAAAGCUGCGUUAUCUUGUUAUUCAUGAAAAUUGAUGGAAUAGCUUAGAUUAAAUGAGAUGUAGGGAAUGUGUCCUUCAAGCUAUUCCUGCAUGGAAAAUGAGAGGCAGGUUGUGUAUGCAAGCAUGAUCAGUAUCGAGUUUGAAAUUGGUUUUUGAAGAUGACGUUGACUGAGAUGUCUGAAGUUUGUUUGUAAAUCUCGUUGAACUUAAGGUCUAUGUUACUUAGACUUGGAUAAAGUGUCUACCCGGACAUAGGUAUCGGACUCGUCCAUUUCGUAGAUAAUCUCAAUUAUUUAGUUUGAAAUGAAGUAUCCAAGUGUGGUGUACUGGUCAUGUCGGACACAGUACGAGUCGGCACGUGAUACUUGAAGUGUCGAAGUAACAAAGCAAGGUUGCAAACUAUGAGUAACUAGGUUUAUGGAGUAAAUCCAAGACGUGGAACGACCUAGACAUAGGAUCCUGAAACUUUUUUAUGUGAUUUGACCUGUUGUAGUGGAUAUUCACUGUUGAAGUGGUUGCUUUUGUUAGUCAUUUUUGUGCAAAAGCUGGGUUACCAAUUUCAAUGUUGUGUCAGUUUACUUCAUCUUAUGAACGCUAUUAGUAGAUAUCAUUGCUUCCCGAUUGACCUUGUGUAUGUGCAAUGUCACAAUGUUCCAUUUUUGAUGCGUGGUAUUUGGUAAUUAUUUUUGUGGUGGUUAUAUAUGGGAACUGAGUUGUGGGUAUGGUUAUAUACUUCUUCCCUUUACUGCCUUGCACAUUGGCGAUAAUAAGGCAGCCUUAUGAGGGAGAGGUUAAUAGUACUAAACUUAUAGAUCACGGACAAAUUGCUAUAUUCUUAUGGAGCAGUAUGUUUAUGGCAUGUUUAAGUGUAAGAUAAGCAUUAUAUGACCAUAGGGGUUUUUCCAAUUGUGCACGGUUAAGCUUUUUCGAGGUAGGGUUUUGGGGGAGAGCUUGUGUUGUGCAUUAUUGACCCGAUUGAUUGGCGUAGUAAGUCAUGGUAGAAUAUGGUUACAAUAAUGAGUUUUGUGUUUUUUUCUUUCUACGAGUCUCAGGCUAAUAUCCUUGUUUAUGUGUCCACAUUCAACCCAUCAUUUUUUGUCCCACAAUUUAUGAGGAAGAAUACAUGUUUGGAGAACAUUGGGACAAAAAUUGUCAGAGAAAACUAGUCAUACCUUUAUUACUACCGCCUAGUUGCCUAUCAUACAUACAAUGUCACUUGUAUAACUACAAAAAUAUUGUGGGGGCCUGAAGAUCUUGGUAAAUAUUGUGGCGUACACCAUCGUGAUGAAAGUUAUUUUUUGGUUUUUUAGAUUUUGGAUUUGUUGGUGAUCAUUUCUUUGGCAUAUUAUUUUUCUGGACUAAUUUUUUUGGACUAAUUUUUUUGUUUUUGUUUUGAAGGAAAUGACUGCUGUAUAUUUAGUUAAGUUAUGUAAAGAUCAUAUUAUUUUGAUGCAAUUUAUUCUGCUUGUGGGUCUUAAAUCUUAAUCGUGCUAAAUUGCUGAUCAGCCUCAUUUUAGUCUGAAACUAGCAAGCUUGUUGAACGCUCAUAGAGUUUCGCAUCCUGAUGUUGCUAUAACUUGUGCUUUCGUGAGGUAUUGAAUUCGAAGGACCUUAUUACAAUUUGCUCUUACUAAUCAAUUAGGUUCGGUUGAGUCUGUGGAGUAGUGGCAUGAGUCUGAUAUCCAUCUCAAAUUCGUGUGGACUAGGGACUAGGGACUAAAUCUCAUGGAACUCACCGGAGAGAUUGUUUCACGUCCUCCUCAGGUGGUCCGCUUUGUCUUACCCAAAAAAAAAGGAAAUGCAAGUAGAUCUAAUGUUUACUUGUCUAUUUGUAGAAAGAUUUCCGGUUGCGUUAAUGAGUUGCAACAUCAUCUUGUAUUUCGUUGAUGAGGAAAGAGAAGUAGAAUCAAAACAAUCGAACUACAUAGAUUGAUUGAAAAUCAAACCAAGAUUUGCCUUAUUGUUGACAACUUCGCUUAGUAGUGGCUUUGAGGAAAGGAAAUUGUAGUGAAUUAAUGAAAUACAUUAUUGGUAAUUUUGUAAGGAAUUUUCGAUACCAUUUAAAUGUUAACUAGUUAUUAGGUUCGCGUUAUGUCCUGGAUAAUGAAAAUUUUCAUUUGUUAAUGUUGUACUUUGAAACAAUAACACUAAAAACUACUUGAUCUAGUGGUUAAGACUUUAGUGGUUAACUGACCUUUUUGUUUAUGUAAUUUUUAUUUUUGUAGUGCAUAUGGAUAACCUUAAUUAAAAUGUCUUAAGGAAGAGCAUCACGUGACACCAUUCUUUAUUUACGAAUGUCUUUUAAUAGAUUUAUAUAGAUGUUUGUUGAUCUACAUAUACUCUCAGCUCUUUUUUCUGUCACAAAUUUCAUUACUAUAUAUCACUCUUCGAGGAGUAUUAAUUGUAA